rnacentral:lncRNA from 1 species
AUCCACACGAGCCCACGAAUCUCGAUCAGAAGUUCUGCUUCAGGAAAUCAGCACAGUAUGCUAGUACUGCACUGAUCUUUCUUUGAUGGUUGAUCAGGUGCCUCCUUCUUCUUGAUUUGGACUCUUCCAAAGAUGGAAAGUAAAAGGAGGAGUUUCAAAUCUGAGACGCUCUCAGGAAACUCAAGAUGGAGGGAGGAAAGAUAUGAAAA